rnacentral:rRNA from 1 species
AAGAAACAUCUUCGGGUUGUGAGGUUAAGCGACUAAGCGUACACGGUGGAUGCCCUGGCAGUCAGAGGCGAUGAAGGACGUGCUAAUCUGCGAUAAGCGUCGGUAAGGUGAUAUGAACCGUUAUAACCGGCGAUUUCCGAAUGGGGAAACCCAGUGUGUUUCGACACACUAUCAUUAACUGAAUCCAUAGGUUAAUGAGGCGAACCGGGGGAACUGAAACAUCUAAGUACCCCGAGGAAAAGAAAUCAACCGAGAUUCCCCCAGUAGCGGCGAGCGAACGGGGAGCAGCCCAGAGCCUGAAUCAGUAUGUGUGUUAGUGGAAGCGUCUGGAAAGGCGCGCGAUACAGGGUGACAGCCCCGUACACAAAAAUGCACAUGCUGUGAGCUCGAUGAGUAGGGCGGGACACGUGGUAUCCUGUCUGAAUAUGGGGGGACCAUCCUCCAAGGCUAAAUACUCCUGACUGACCGAUAGUGAACCAGUACCGUGAGGGAAAGGCGAAAAGAACCCCGGCGAGGGGAGUGAAAAAGAACCUGAAACCGUGUACGUACAAGCAGUGGGAGCACGCUUAGGCGUGUGACUGCGUACCUUUUGUAUAAUGGGUCAGCGACUUAUAUUCUGUAGCAAGGUUAACCGAAUAGGGGAGCCGAAGGGAAACCGAGUCUUAACUGGGCGUUAAGUUGCAGGGUAUAGACCCGAAACCCGGUGAUCUAGCCAUGGGCAGGUUGAAGGUUGGGUAACACUAACUGGAGGACCGAA